GUUUAUUUUUUCCGAAUCAGUGAAAGCCUGCUAUUGACGGUGCAAUGACGUGUGUGUUAAUAAUAAUAGAGCCAAACGAUAAAAUUAAACAUUUUGCGAAGCGAAUAAUUUAAUAAAAUUUUUAACAAAACUUCUGAAUGCCGAAAACUGAUAAAAACUUUGAGUUUACAAUCAAAAAGCCAAAACAAAAUAGUUCGAAUAGGCUGCUAAACCAAAUUGGUUGCGAAUGCAAUAAAUUAUAAAGAAAAACUAGAAAAUAGAGGUAAAAAAUCCAAAAUCAGUGCGGUUUUUCAAAGGCGAAUCCUGAGUCAGGUGAGAGAAAAUCCAUUUGUGACCUCUUCCGCCCGUAAGAAGCAAUAUUCUUUGAAUGUGAAUGCUUUAACCAUUCGAAAGUUAUAAAUCAAAAAAAAAUUUACCAUAGUCAAUAUAAAAAAACGGUUAAAACUUGCCGAAGAUCGUGCUGAAUGGCCAGUUAGUACAUGGCGAAAAAUUCUUGGGUCAGAUGAAAACAAAGUGAAUUUAUUCAACUUAAAGCAAGGUAGUCGUUCCGUGCGACGACCGCCUAAUACCGAAUUCCUUCCACAACACAAUAAAAAUACGAUACAACAUUGAGGUGGGAGUAUAAUGGUUUGGGGGUGCUUCUCAUAUUAUAGAACAGGUCCGCUAUUUCAAUACACCAAGAUUUUAAAUGAAACCAUAUUACCUUAUGCGGAGUUUAAUAUGCCCCUUAAAUGCGUCUUUCAACAAGAUAAUGACCCGAAACACACAUCGAAGCGGGCAAAGGAAUGGUUGAGACAAAACGGCAUGGCAGUUUUAAGCUCUCCCCCGCAAUCUCCAGACCUCAAACCUAUAGAAAAUUUAUGGCGGCAGCUUAAAGUGGCUCUGAGAGGCCAAAAUCCAUCCAAUAAAGAGGACCUUUGGAGGCUAGUGAAGGCCGCAUGGCAUAAAAUUCCAGCCGUUAUGUACCAGAAUUUAGUAGAUUAUAUGUCCAGAUUUUGCAUAGCAGUUAUAAAAAACUAUGGAUACUGCACUAAAUAUUAAUAUUUCAAAUCACCGGAAACAAAUAAAUUUAAAUAACGUCUUCUGGCUCUAUUUCAAAGCACAGCCAAAACGGGACAUGCUAAUGAGUUUUUAGUUUUGAUUUUAGACUUAAGACUUUUAAUUGGUAUCUUAAUAUAUACUCCAUGCGUUGUUUCUUUUCUACCAAUAAAAAAA